GCAUCCUCAUUUAAUAGAGCUUGAAAUUACUAUAAUCUGUAAAGUACAGCGAGAAGAAGAAGUUUCACCUGCCUGCACAUCUGUCGUUGACUCUCCAUCUGACUUGGAGGGACUCUGAGGGACCAACCUGAGCCUGAGAAGAGGCAAGAUUCCCCUUCAAGGACACACUGGGAACUUACGGACCUCUUUCUCCAUGGUGCAGAGCGCAGAGGCUACCUGAGAAUAUCCAGAGACUACAGAGGUCAUCAAGUUGACGCAUCAAUGUUUACAUGUGAACAAACAGACGCAUAAUAGCUCUUGAGCUUGCCAUUGGGAAGUGAAAAUCAACUGCUUGAAUAAAUGUAAGGACUCAGGUAGACAUCACCUUGUGACUCAACAGCAGCCAAUAAGAUGGAAAUAAAGGCCAUGAAGUUAUCGGAUGGCAUCUACAAGGAAUACUUAGAUGAGGAGGUGACUCUGGUAGCAAUUGUUCUUUUGUCUUUCUCACCUUCCUUCUUGUCCUGUCUGGGAUGCUGAAGUGAUGGCUGGUAUACAGAUGCCCUGUUGUGAUGUUGAGAUAAACAUGAGAAUAAAAGUCGGCGAUUACAGAUGGCAGAGAAGAGAGAGAAAGAUAGGAUGUAGGUGGAUAUUGACGGAACUAAGUUUCUAUUGCACAAGUUCUACCACCAACCUCUGGACUUCAUGAUAUGUGAGGGAGAAAUAAACUCCUAUUUUAGAAGAGAUCUAUGUUACCUGCAACUGAACGGAAUGCUUAAUUGGCACAUCCUAUGUGCUCCAAACCUUCCUUAAUUUCUGUGUGUAAGGCAUACUUAGUCUUUACCCAUUAUUCUGUUCACAUUCAUUCACUUGAUCAGCCUCCCAACUCUAUGGUAAAGAGUUUACUACAGUUUACUCUAUUAGUAAGGGAGAUUCUGGAGCAAGCCCCACAAAUCAUAGAUUGAAUACCCAUUCAUUAAGAGAGAGAUUUAAAGAUACUUCUAUCCAAACACAUUUUAAAUUUCCAGCACCUUUGAGGUGGUGGAGGUUCAUGGUGGUUGAUAGGGUUUAAAUGACUUGUGAUUCAAGCUCCAUAUUACAAUGUAACAGUGCAAAAGUUCAUUUUUUUAAAUUUAUUUUACUUUAAGUUCUGGUAUACAUGUGUAGAACAUGCGGGUUUGUUACAUAGGUAUACAUGUGCCAUGGUGGUUUGCUGCACCUAUCAAACCGUCACCUAGGUUUUAAGAACCACAUGCAUUAGGUAUUUGACCUAAUGCUCUCCCUCAUGUUGCCCCCCAACUCCCUGACAGGGCCCAGUGUGUGAUGUUCCCCUCCCUGUGUCCAUGUGUUCUCAUUGUUCAACUCCCACUUAUGAGUGAGAACAUGUGGUGUUUGAUUUUCUGUUCCUGUGUUAGUUUGCUGAGAAUGAUGGCUUCCAGCUUCAUCCAUGUCCCUGCAAAGGACACGAACUCAUUCUUUUUUAUGGCUUCAUAAUAUUCCAUGAGUCUGGAUUUGGUUACAGAUAGAGCUGGACAAGCCUUAGCUAUAUCUAAUGGCUUUUGACAUGUUAUAUCAAUUUCUUACUGCUUUUGUAAAUGAAUAUAUUAAGAAGAAAAAAUUACAAAUGACCCUUUCUUCACAAACUUUUAGGGUAAUCAAGUUCAGUUAUUAAAAAAUGGAUGUUUGCAACAUUCAUAGUAAUUAUUUUCAGAAAAUUAAAAAUGAUUAAAAAUUAUAUUUUCAUCCCAUUCAGAUAUUAUAUAUUUAACUGUGAGAUAAUUCUCAGAGAUAAAUGUCAACUUUUAAAAAAUGCUAAAUAAAUUAAAUCAAAAUAUCCCCUCUAAAAUAAAUAAAUUAGCUCCGAUUAUUUCUUCUUUUUAAAUUUUUCCUUAUAGUUGUAAAAAUAAAGUGAACGUUUUGGCUCAUUUCCUCAUUAAAGUUUGAAUUUUCCAGUCA
rnacentral:lncRNA from 1 species